UGCAGUCGAACGGUAACAGGAAUCAGCUUGCUGAUUUGCUGACGAGUGGCGGACGGGUGAGUAAUGUCUGGGAAACUGCCUGAUGGAGGGGGAUAACUACUGGAAACGGUAGCUAAUACCGCAUAACGUCGCAAGACCAAAGAGGGGGACCUUCGGGCCUCUUGCCAUCGGAUGUGCCCAGAUGGGAUUAGCUAGUAGGUGGGGUAACGGCUCACCUAGGCGACGAUCCCUAGCUGGUCUGAGAGGAUGACCAGCCACACUGGAACUGAGACACGGUCCAGACUCCUACGGGAGGCAGCAGUUGGGGAAUAUUGCACAAUGGGCGCAAGCCUGAUGCAGCCAUGCCGCGUGUAUGAAGAAGGCCUUCGGGUUGUAAAGUACUUUCAGCGGGGAGGAAGGCGACAGGGUUAAUAACCCUGUCGAUUGACGUUACCCGCAGAAGAAGCACCGGCUAACUCCGUGCCAGCAGCCGCGGUAAUACGGAGGGUGCAAGCGUUAAUCGGAAUUACUGGGCGUAAAGCGCACGCAGGCGGUCUGUCAAGUCGGAUGUGAAAUCCCCGGGCUCAACCUGGGAACUGCAUUCGAAACUGGC
rnacentral:rRNA from 2 species